rnacentral:misc_RNA from 1 species
CAGAGUUGCAAAACUCCCUUAAACCAUCGCGAACGUACCCGUAUCGUUGCUUCGGUGGGCGGCUCCAGGGCGGAGCCGAAGCCUUCACGGGCGCCCGCCGGAGGACCUAUACCUAACUAUUUAUCCUAACCGGCCUCUCUGAGUAUUUUUAUAAUAAGUAA